AGAAAAGCAGUAUAUAAUAUGGUGAACUAAAAAGUAUGGCAUGGAUCAAGACUGAGGGAAAAGCAGAAGCAAGUAUGCCUGCGAUUGGAUUACCAAGUAUCAGAAAGUUGAAAAUAAAUAAAUAAAUAAACCUAAAGGACCCAAGCCUCUCUAACAAAGGAACGCAUCCAUCUCCUCUCUGCCAGUGUUCAGAUACUGCCCUGUUCUCGCAAGUUGAUAAAAAAACAUCCUUGCUUUUCAACCAGCUCUCCAGUGAGCUAGAUGUGUUUGGACCUGCAGGGGAAUGGUUGACCACCGCCGCAAAUACCAAAGCAUGAGCAUCCUAAUGGGCCUAAGAGAGAGGAAGACAGAGAUAGAAACAUCAAUGGCUCCAGAGAAACAUCAAUUGGCUGCCUCCUGCAUGCCCCCUACUGGUGAUGGAGCCUGAAACCCAGGCAUGUGAACCUCAACUUCCUGGCACACGGGACAACACCCACCCCACUAAGCCACACCAGCCAGACUGAACUUGCAUUAUUUUUAAUAAAUGGAUGGCUAUC